rnacentral:rRNA from 1 species
UUCGAGUGGCGGACGGGUGAGUAACGCGUGGGUAACCUGCCUUACACAGGGGGAUAACACCUGGAAACAGGUGCUAAUACCGCAUAAGCGCACAGGGCCGCAUGGCCCGGUGUGAAAAACUCCGGUGGUGUAAGAUGGACCCGCGUCUGAUUAGCUUGUUGGCGGGGCAGGGGCCCACCAAGGCGACGAUCAGUAGCCGGCCUGAGAGGGUGGACGGCCACAUUGGGACUGAGACACGGCCCAAACUCCUACGGAAGGCAGCAG